CACGGGGGGGAGCAAGCGUUGUUCGGAAUCACUGGGCGUAAAGGGCGUGUAGGCGGUUUGGUAAGUGAGAUGUGAAAUGCUUCGGCUCACCCGAAGACCUGCAUCUCAAACUGCCGGACUAGAGUAUGGGAGAGGACAAGGGAAUUCCUGGUGUAGCGGUGAAAUGCGUAGAUAUCAGGAGGAACACCGGUGGCGAAAGCGCUUGUCUGGCCCAAUACUGACGCUGAGGCGCGAAAGCUAGGGGAGCAAACGGG
rnacentral:rRNA from 1 species